AUGGAUGUGAAAAGUGCAUUCCUCAAUGGUAAGCUUGAGGAAGAAGUAUAUGUUGCUCAACCCCCAGGUUUUGAAGAUCCAAAGAAUCAUGACGAAGUCUUUAGACUCAACAAGGCCCUCUAUGGCCUCAAGCAGGCCCCAUGGGCUUGGUAUGAUACCUUGAAGGAACUCCUCAUGAAGAAAUGCUUCAAACCUUGUUCACUCGACCCUACUCUUUUCACUAAAUCUUAUGAUGGUGAAUUGUUUGUGUGCCAAAUAUAUGUUGAUGAUAUUAUCUUUGGCUGUACUGACCAACGUUAUAGUGAUGAAUUUGCCUAUAUAAUGAGUGAAGAAUAUCAAAUUUUUAGGAUGGGAGAGUUGAAAUUCUUCUUAGGUCUUCAAAUUCGUCAACAACACAAUGGCAUAUUCAUAUCUCAGGAGAAAUACCUCAAGGAUGUACUGAGGAAAUUCGGCAUGCAAGAUUGCAAAGGCGUCAAAAUUCCUAUGCCCACAAAUGGCCAUCUGUGCACUGAUGAAAACGGUAUUGACUUCGAUCAUAAGGUAUACCGCUCCAUGAUAAGUUCCUUAUUGUACUUAUGUGCAUCUAGGCCAGAUAUAAUGCUUAGUGUUUGCAUGUGUGCCUGA
rnacentral:rRNA from 1 species